UGAGCCCCUCCAUAACCAGAUCUUCCAGUAUCCUCGUCCGCCCACUUGGCGAGACUCCGUCUUGUAACCUCCGGCUCUCGCCGAUCGAUAAGCUUCCUGUCUUUCAACGUGGAGUGGAUCUGAUUCAGGUGUUCAUCCACGGUCUCAGGCCAGCCAUGGUCAUCAAAGAAGCUCUGUCCCUGGCUCUCAAUCACUACUACCCACUUGCAGGGAGACUGGUUCUUACGCCAGAGGGAGAGCUCGAGGUUUCCUGUACUGGUGACGGUGUAGGGUUUGUCGAGGCAUUCACCGACUGUACUCUCGAAGAUGUCAACUUCUUGGAGCUUCCUCUCAGGAUCGCCGACGAUGAGAUCCUUCCCUACCCUCGGCCUGGUGCUGAGCAGGAGGAUGCAGCCAUAGUGCUCAUACAGGUGACAGAAUUUAGAUGCGGUGGAUUCGCAGUUGUUUGUGCAAUGAAUCAUGCUGUUCAGGAUGGCAGUGGACUAAUACAGUUCCUGAGUUCCGUAGGGCAAAUCGCGCGGGGGAUAGAUAAGCUGUCUGUGACCCCCAUAUGGUCGAGAAACUCAAUUCCUCUGCCGCUGAAAAUCCCAACACUACGGCAACUUAAUUUAUCAAUCCCCAAGAGUUCGACCUUCAACUCGCCCACCAUUAUCGAUGUCUCUGAAGGCACAAUCAACCAAUUGAUGAAGCAAUGCCCGAACUGUACGUCAUUCCAGCUCCUAGGCGCGUUGUUGUGGCAAUGUUGGACACAAGAGUCCAGCCAAGACCCUGACCUGCCUGUCGAGCUUUGGUUCCCUGUGAGCCUCCGCCCUUUGUUGCUGCAUCACCUCCCAGGCA
rnacentral:misc_RNA from 1 species